AGCAGCCGCGGUAAUUCCAGCUCCAAUAGCGAAUAUUAAAGUUGUUGCAGUUAAAAAGCUCGUAGUUGAAUUUCGGGGUUCUACCGUUGGUCAGGCUAUUGUCUGUACUGGUGUGUAGAAUUUCUACCUUCUGGGGAACUAUCAUGUUAUUAAUUUAGCGUGGUAGGAAACCAGGACCCUUACCUUGAAAAAAUUAGAGUGUCCAAAGCAGGCUUAUGUCUGAAUACAUUAGCAUGGAAUAAUAAAAUAGGACGGUGGUCCUGUUUUGUUGGUUUCUGAAUCACCGUAAUGAUUAAUAGGGAUAGUUGGGGGCAUUAGUAUUCAAUUGUCAGAGGUGAAAUUCUUGGAUUUAU
rnacentral:rRNA from 1 species